AGGAUGAACGCUGGCGGCGUGCCUAAUACAUGCAAGUCGAGCGAACAGACGAGGAGCUUGCUCCUCUGACGUUAGCGGCGGACGGGUGAGUAACACGUGGAUAACCUACCUAUAAGACUGGGAUAACUUCGGGAAACCGGAGCUAAUACCGGAUAAUAUAUUGAACCGCAUGGUUCAAUAGUGAAAGACGGUUUUGCUGUCACUUAUAGAUGGAUCCGCGCCGCAUUAGCUAGUUGGUAAGGUAACGGCUUACCAAGGCAACGAUGCGUAGCCGACCUGAGAGGGUGAUCGGCCACACUGGAACUGAGACACGGUCCAGACUCCUACGGAGGCAGCAGUAGGGAAUCUUCCGCAAAUGGGCGAAAGCCUGACGGAGCAACGCGCGUGAGUGAUGAAGGUCGUUCGAUACGUAAAAACUCUGUUAAUAGGUAAGAAACAAAUAGUAGUAAGUAACUAUGACACGUCUUGAACGGUACCUAAUACAAGAAAGCCAACGGCUAACUACGUGACCACG
rnacentral:rRNA from 1 species